CCGAGAUGUAAAUUUUAUAUAAUAAAAUGCGAAUUUUCUCUUUUUGACUUGAAGCCUUGUCUGUUACUUUCUUCAGGAAUGUCAUCACAAAUAGAUUUGUCUGGGAGCUUGAUGAGUAAGAAAAGCUAUCUGAAAGUAGGCAAGGUUCCAUUUGCAUUUCACUUGUCUCCAUGAAUGUGUGCAAAUUCUUCAACCUCUUCCUUCCCAAGAGGAAAUUCAGACUUUUUAAAGAUAAGCAUCUGAUUAUCUAUUUUCUUUAAAAAUAGCAUUUUAGAUAUUUCCUGUCCUUAAGAUGUUGCUGUUGAGCAGAUAACAACUUGAACCGUGCUAUGUUAGAACGGAUGCUGAAAACUAAAUGAGCAAGGUUAGUGCUGACAUCUACUGUUAGAACUUGAGGAUGUGCUACUUUGUCACAAGCAGUUCCCUCCUAAGGAGACGGGAGUUGUGUAGCACUAGUUGCGGGUGCAGGGGGUCAGAGUGACUGGAGGAGAGAAUCACCCAAAGCUCCAUCAUCCUGAAGAAGGGCGCAAGGGAAUGACUUCGCGCUUCUUGAGAUAAACAUGUUGAAGAAUCUGGAGCAGAAGAUAAAUUAAUGUCAAGAGAUAGAAAUGAUUGAAGUUGUGGUAAACGUAAACAAGACAGAGCCAGCAGAUAAGCAGCGGCACCCCAACAGAAGUAAGGAGUGGAGUGACAUCUGGAGGAGACAGGAAGAAAGGAGUGUGAAAGAGUUGGGAGUUUAAAAAUACUGUUGUAGGUCCUUCUGGUUGUGCUACGUGGGACACUGCCUCAGCACGGCUUGAUGAGCAGUGCACAGGUCAGCGCCCAGGAUCUGAACUGGUGAACCCUGGGCCGCCAUAGCGGAUCAUGUGAACCUAACCACUCGGCCACAGGACUGGACCCAACCUUCACCUUUUCAAGUAGACCAAACUCCAACCUGUAUAUUCAGGACUGGAGCGAGAACCAGGAUGGAGAAAAAUUUUAAGGACUUUGUGUAAAGAAGGUCUUGCUUCCCUCCCGAGGCCAGCGAGAGAUGGUGAAGCAAGCAAGGAUGGAGCAACACCCCAAAGCUGUGACACGCAGGCCCCACCAGCGACUGGCCUUGGGCCCCUUCACCCCCGUCACUCCCUCCACCACCUUCCCAGGCUCUCCCAGCUCCCUGGGAUCCCAGGCUCUCCAUGCCCGGCCCAGUCUGCGACCAAUGCCUGGGCUAGGCCUGGCUGGUGUCUCCUUGCCCUCUAGGCCUUUGCCUCUUCCUCCAGGGAGUCCUCCCUAAUGCCCUUCCCAGACUGAGUCCGUCUGUGCUGCAUGUGUCAUGUCUGUGAAACGUAGAGGACAUAUGGCUCCUCCAGUAGGGGCACAGGAGUCUGGGAGGGAACCAGUGGGAGGCUGGCAAGAGGAAGCAAGGAGAAGCCAGCACAGAUGCCUGAGCAACUGACUGAAGCCUUGUCAUCUCUGACCUUGGAAGUCAGGCCCUCACUCGGUUACCUGAUCUCACGGCUCAAUUUGCAACCGGAAGCACAUCAUCGGCUCAAACGAACGUUGGUUGAAUGAACGAACUGGAGGAAAAGAACCGGGGAGGCAGAGGGGGUCUGAAAACCCCGGGUCGGGUCUGCAUCCUGCUGUGUAAAAUGAGCUCACACGCGCACUGCAGGAGAUUCCAACAGCCUGGCCUGGGGUUUCCUCUUCCAUCAGGGCUCAGCUGAGCCACCGCCUGCCCCAGGAAGCCUUCUCUCAACCCCACAGUUCGCUGGGGGUGGGGGCAGGGGCACCGUGCAUAAGCUCGUUGUUGGGGGAGUAAUGGACCAAGUCCAGAAAGUUCCAUUGCAAGAUGAUGAGAGUCAGGGAGGCAGGGUGGCCUCAUGGGCUUUGCCAUUUUCUUUUUCUUACCUUGUUAAAUUAAAAGCAAUUUUCAAAAAAGUGAAAAGAAAAUUCUCUCCCAAUAAAAGGAUCUACCAGCUGGAGUUAGGAUCCUUCCUAGGAGAGUAUCAGUAUUUUCUCUGUUCUAGGGGGAGCGCUGGAAUAUAUCCUGGGGCAGACUCUCCUUUUGUUCUGGAGGAAGCCACUUCUGUGAGCCGGUUUGGUUUGAGGUCUAUAAGAUUCUUCAUUGUUGUGGGGAGAAGUCCCAAGGAAAGCCCCAAACCAAUGAAGUGAUCCUACUGCAGAUGUUUCAGAGGGAGGUGUUGAGGGCUUUUCUUAGCGUUGUACCUUGACGUGUCUUCUUGACAGGACUAAGCCUCUGCAGGAUCAGAGCCACCAUGGAGCAGCAUGGAGACUGGGCCCUACCCAUGGCCAGGGGCAGAGAAAUCAGCCAGCUCUGCUCACCGGUCCGUGAGGUGCUAGUCUUCCCAGAGAAAGGGCAGCUUUUUCUAAUUUUCACGAUGUGCCAUAGAGACUAGAGUUUCUGAGAGACAGUAUACAACCCCUGAGAUCAUGCCAAGAAGGACCUAGGGAUCUGAUCUGAUCUCUACCAUUUACCAGAGGAAAGACUAUGAAGAGGAAGUAAACUGAGUUUGGUUUAGAAGCGCUGGCUCCUUGAUUUUGUUGCCCAGACGUGGUAUUAAGCCUGAAUAACCCAGCCUGCAGGAAAUGUGUUGUCAGCUGUUGAGAGUGUCUUGUCUGAGCAAUGGAGGAGGGAGAUGGAGUGGGCAGACGGCAUGCUACAUGGAGGGUGGGAGUGCUCCUAAGCCGAUGGGUGCUCCCACUGCGAAUCAGCCUGGGAUAGGAAAAGAAGCAGGUCCAGGAAGGCGAAAGGGCUCUCUGGAGCCAGAGAAGUUGAGCCUGGAUUUCGGGUAGGAGGACACCAGUAAAGAUCCUUGCAAGAUGGCAGCUGUCUGAGGAUCAAGGAGAAAGAAGACCAAUAGGGGAUGACCUAUAGGAGGGUGUGGAUUAGGCACCUAGGAAGAGUGAUAGCUGGAUAUUUUUUGACCACGUUACAGUGCAUUCAGCAAUCUCCAAGCCUUCAGUGAAGUUUAUUUAGCUAUGCUUUGGAGAAAUAAAGAGGAUGCCUGGACCUGCACAUAGGGUGCAGGUGUAAGGGCAAAGCUCAUGCAGCCUGGACAAACCGUUAUGUGAGAGGGGAGCGGCAGUUGGAGAACAAUGACUAGCUAGAGGGACGAAUGCAGGGGAACCAUCUUUGUGCGACAGAUGAGCAUUCUUUGAGGACUAUCAGAAACAUUUGGCGAGAGCAACCAGAAAACCAGGACUUCAUGCAGUUGUUCAGGUCAGGAGCUUGGAUGAAGUUAGUUGGUGUUAAAGGAAAGGGUGACUCUGGAAGGCUAGAGGUGGUGGGGACAUGUGAGAUCCCCAGGGGAGAACGAAUGGCUAGAAGGGAAGGGAAUGUGGCAUUGCUGACUCCAAAGUGCCACAACACAUUUUUCUUUUAGCUCUCAAAGUGAAAAGCUGACAGUUCCAUUCCUAUAAGGGGAAGGCAUUUUGCUAGAUGGAAUCUCAUUUUCAUUUCCUCUCUGUUGUCACUGAAACACUGAUUACUUAUAAACAUUUCUGCAAGAAGAAUUCAGAUUCAGAUUCUUUGUUUAAGAAUUACAUAAUUUUUAAAUUAAAUACAUUCUUCCAGUACUCAUUCAAAGACAGAAAAACAAAUCAGAUUUUAUGUGUUUGCCUCUAUCACUCUUUCGAUAUUAACUAGUUACCUGGCUGUUUUUCUGUCUCUCAGUCAUCUUAACUCAAAUGCCUGCAAAAAGCCAAUACUGCUUAGUGUUAAAAUAAAACAAAAAGCCCACUUCAGAAAAUUGCAUAUUAUUUUAUUUUAUAUAAAAAUGCAUAUUACUUCCAGAUGGUCAAGUCUAACCUAACCAGAAAAAGGCUUAUUAAAAUAAUGCAUAAAAUCUGAGGAAAACAAAUAAGACUUAAAAGCAAAAAGAACAGUUAUUAGAAUUACAGAUGCAUAAUUUUCCUGGAAUGCUAGUGAUCUGAAGUAAUCUAAGGAAAUGUUUACUUUGGUCUACUUGCAACUUAAUAUUACUCUAUGUUGAUUUGAAGUGUUGACACUGAACCAAUAAAAUAAACGUCUGUAAUGAAGUCAUAGAUGUAAAUUCCCACUGCAAUUGAACAACACGCAGAGAAUUCCACUCUAAAACACCACUGCCAAGCACUGUGGGGACCACUCAUUUCUAUUUGUUUUCAACAAACAAAAUUUAACGUAAAUUGUAGGUGUUAGCACACUAAUAUUUUUUAAAAACUUGAAAAAAAU
rnacentral:lncRNA from 1 species